CAUGCAUGUUGACGCAUUUUUAGUGCACAGUCUGUCGCAGCAGUUCAUUCAUGUUCUCUGUUAUAAACUUAUAGUUAUAAAACUGUGGAUUGAUGUAAAAAUUCAGGCAUAAGGAGACUGCAAACAUGUAUUGAAGUAUCAGGAUCAGAUCUCUUGGUAAUUUUUCUCUGAUAUUUAAUGCCCUGAAUGCUUCAGACACAAACUUUUUGGUUUUAUGUUAAAUUUACAGAAUUAGAAAAAUAUAACACUCAAUCUAUUGCAACCAGUCACUUGAAACAUUUAAGUGCUGAUCCGGUAAAAAUACCUAAAGUCUAGAUAGGUGUGCUUACUCGCUACUUUAGAAAGCAGAACAUCCCCUGUUGUAGUCAAGUAUUUCUGGAUCCAAUAAUAUUAUUACAUAAUAUAAUCUUUGUUGUUGUUGCAUUUUUUACACAGGAGGUGGAUCAUUUAAUAACAACAAGUGAAAAUAUAAUUCAAAUAUAUCUUAAAAGUAAUGUGCAAAAUUCUGACAUUGGUCUUUAUACUUACUUUAAGUCAUUAUUAUUCCCAGAUAUACAUGACUAAGCUCAAGUAUAGUAUUGUUGAAGUGAUCAGCAGUGUAAAAAAAGGAACAAACCUCAACAUGUUUCUGUUAUUGAGACUGGUGACAUGUGCACGUUGAUAUGCCAUGCAUAGGCUUCAUGAGGCAGCAAUGCCAAGGCGUAUAUUGUUUAUCAAGCAGAUAUCAGUGAUGGAACAAGUGGGCAAGUCAUAUUGUGAAAGUGGAAAUACCCGUGUGUUUCAGUAAUCUGUGUUUUUAUGACCUACAUUCUCAGCCGUACCACAGCAGGAGUAAACAUGUGGAGACAAGUCCUCCUGCGUAACAUCAACUGUUCCUGUAGCUGAAGUUACUACAGUUCAGAAAUAAUGCAAACAAACAUUUAUCUCUCAUGUGUGGCAAAGAAGUGUAACUCCAUUGUGAAACAGCCACCCCUCCUUUUUCUUUACCAUUGCAGUAGCCUGUUAGGGAGUGUUUUGUAAUCAUUGCCCAGCAGCCUGUGAACAUGAAAUAUCACCACUACUGGUCCAAGUAUUUAAAUUUUUAAAAUGUCUUAUGUAUAAUUCUCAGUAUGAACACUUAAACUGCGUAGUUAUCCAUCAACUAAGCUUCACUGUGUGUUGGUGAUACAUAUUUCCUGCCUGAGCUAGAAAAUUAUCCACCCUUUUGAAGUGUUUAUCUACAAAAAGAGAAGCAGAAUUGUGGUUUAUUGCUACGUCAGUAAGUGUGGUACGUGUGGUUUCAAGAAAGAGUACAUUGUGUCCUGGAUCAGAAGGAAAACACGUAUACAGUCAUUUUGUGAAAGCGAAAAUGACCUGGUGGAAAUGUACCCUGUAUACCACUGGUUCUCAAACUUUUUUUCAACACUGUACCCCCUUUUAAAUAUAUUUUCAGACAAGUACCCCCUGACCAGCUCAAAAAGAAAAAAUCCUAUACAAAAACAUAAAAUACCUCCACUACACUCCACUACAACAACUGAGUCGUUUGUAGUGGAACUAUUUAACAAGCAUACACAUUGUGAUAAUUUUGGUCUAGUAGCUUCUUGAAUGUCAGUGAUUAAUGAGCCCUCUGAAACCACCUUGUGUGCUGACAUAAAGUCAGAAUGCAGUGAGUCACCGGAUGGUUGGCCUAAAACCUAAAGGAAGUGUCUGUCACCUAUUAACAGCAUGAAGGAACGCUCAUUUAGCUUAGCCAUAGAUCUGCAGAUAUGUUUAAACAGAAGUUUGAACAGAGGCCAGACCCCUCCAGCCACUAUACACUAACAACAAGCUUUACCUCAUACAGAUGCCUCAACCAAAGACUUGUUGCCAUUUUUAAUCUGUUGACUUUGAAAUAACAGCAAUAACAAUUAUUAGGUGUGCUUUAUAAUAAUCAUAUUCAGGGGAUCAUUUCAAGAUGCCUUAUUGUUAUUUUUAUGGGAUACUGAAAGAGUUUGUUUUGGAUGUUGUUUACUCUGAAUAAAAGGAAGCAUCACCAGAGAACAUCACACCCAUCAAUAUGAAUUCAAAUAAUUGCUGUCACUGUCCUGUAUAUGUCAGGAAUAAUGAACUGUGCAUGUUGGUCUUGUAGUUUCCGACAGUACUGCGAGGAAGCCUAUCUAAUCUUGAGGAAGAAUGGGAACCUCUUCAUCACAUUGUUUGCCCUCAUGCUGACUGCUGGACUGCCAGAGCUCACCUCAGUCAAAGACAUCCAGUACUUAAAGGACUCUCUGGCUCUGGGUAAAACAGACGAGGAGGCGCUGAAGCAGUUUCGCCAGAAGUUCGACGAGGCCCUGAGAGAGAGCUGGACUACCAAAGUCAACUGGAUGGCCCACAAUGUGGCCAAAGACAACCGCUCCUAGAACAGCUGAGACCCCUCGAAAUCCAAGGGACAGGGGCCAAGAGGACACAGUGAAGGAGUGUGAGAGUGUGUGGGAGAGGAAAGGUGUGCAGAGGAGACGGAGUGACAGCCACCCUGAUUUUAAAGAAGGGAAUAUCCCAAUCGUGAGCAGAUUCACCCCCAUAUACUGUAGAUACAGAGUAAACCUACUCUCUGAAACAGUUCGGUCAGCCUGCACCCUUACUCACUGCAUCCUCCUCGCCUUGCAUCACUCUGGCAUGGUGCCUCCUGAAAAUCCAAAUACAUGGUCUCGUGACAUUUCUGUGGAAUCAUGGUGGGUAACGUCGUUGCAAGUUUUGCACAGGCACAACAGCUGAUGGAGCACACAGCCAAAGGAAGGGAACUGAAGCGCCCACUCUGCCCACACUAAAGAUGAACUGUUCCUACAGAGCGGGCUGACAACAAAAUUCAUGGCCUGGAGUGGUUGAAUGAAUUUCGUCCCACAGACUUGAAACUCAGCUUGUAUGGACUCUGAAGGGAGACAUGGUUUGACUGCACCCCUGAACUGUUUUAAGUACAGCGGAGAUAACACAUGGGUGUGGAAAGGGCGGAUAUGGAAAGGACAAAAACGUCUGACCCCCAUGUCUUAAAACAAUGUGCACCACGCCCACAGGAAGUGCAUCUUAACUGUCUCGCUCCCGCUGCCUCAAAAGUGUGCCUCGAAACUGCGGGAAGAUUGUAUUUUUUAUGAGUUUUCUUUUUCUGUUGCCAUUUAAGAAUUUAUCAUGAGACGUCUAUGUGCCAGACUACUUUACUAGUCCAGAGAGAAAACUUCUGUUAGGGAAAUAAUGAUGAAGAGAAGGAUUGAUUGGAGAAAAAGAUGCCCUGAGCCUUUUGGUCCGCUGUUUGAAUCUCAUUUCUUUUGGACCUUUUAACACUGGAAUGUUUUUAGAAAGACGUAUACAUGUAAAUUUCAAAUAGUCUUUUAACAAACUAAACACUUUAUUUUUUAGUUUCUUUUAUUUUGAAAUGACAAUGUGCAUUGUUUCUUUGAAAAAUGUUCAAAUCAAGAGCAUUAUUGGACAAAAUGUUAUCACCCGUGAGUUAUCACUAGUCAACUUGUCUUAAAGUCUAAAAGGAUGUCGGCCUUUUAAAGUGCCAUCCCACUCAUUCUACGAUAAACUCACUGAGGAAUAACUGAUGCUUUUAACAUGUUAGGACCAAAACAAAAAGCAAAUCUUUAGUAAUUCCAUUGUUCAUACUGUGUUUUUAAUUAUCUGUUUCUGAAUUGAAUGUGAAAAUAUGUGCCGCUCUCUUUUUAAAUGUGUUUGUUUUUAUACGAGCAGGUGUGGGCGGAGUCUGGGGGCUGUGUGGGCGGGGUUUAUCAGUAGGGACAUUACACUGCGAUGCAAAGCUACUUCCUCAUUUUCGACAUACGGUGCUCCUCAGCAUCUGCAUCUGUGUUUGAUUUUCGUGCAAUAUCCGAGUAUAUGAACCAUAUCCUAUUAAAUAAAACCUUAGGCCCAGGCCUAAGCCUAUAAUGGUUUUUCUCUGUUGGUUUAUGUGUGAUGCAGCUGUAUUUCGCACCACUUAGCCUUCAAAAGUCUCAGACACUGGAUAUUGUCAAAUGUACAGGCUUUUAUUGUUUUGCUGGUUUUUGUUUUCAUAGGAGUUUUAUUAAAGUUAUUUUCCACCGCGCUGCA